UCCGCUGCACACGCCGCGUCGCUCGGAGUCGCUGGAUUUCUUACAUCAGUCCGUUCAAAGCGCAUCGCGCCGCGUUUAAUACUCGCACCCACGAACGGAGCGGGAGAGAGUUACGGAGGGCAGACGGUGCCAGAGAGAAAGCGAGAAUAAACUCCACUACGAGGAUAAACUCCACUGCAGCUUUGUCAAGAUGAGCGAGUGUGGACAAACAGGGGAGCCCAACAGCAGCCAAACACCCACCGCAGACAACAAAGAGAAAGCUUCUGACUCUGCAGGAAAACCUGAGCAGGAGGAAGAGGUCGAUAUUGACCUGGAGGCCCCCGAGACGGAGAAAGCAGCCCUCGCCAUCCAGAACCAAUUCAGACGCUUUCAAAAGAAGAAGAAGUAGACCUAUUUGAACAACUAGGAUAUCUUACACAUGCUUUAGGAAGAAAAUGUGAGGAGGGGUAGAAAGCAAGAGAAAGAGAGAGAAGCAUAACUUUUAAUCAAGCAUGAAAUGUAUAUAGUCUCCCCUCUGCUGAUCAUAAAGCCAUGAAUCUACAGCCCAAACCUUCCUGCUUUAUCUACAUCUCAUACAAGAAGCCAUUCAGAGAAAAGAUCUUGUUCUCUCAAACACAGAGUAAGCACAGCAUCACUAUGACAAUAACAUAGCACAUGACCAGUUCAGAAUAGCACAAUUUCCAACUCACAUCUUCUCUUCUUUGGCUCUCCUCGUCUCUUCUGGUCUCUCUUUGUUAUGUCUGUUUUUCUUCCUGGUUUAAAGUGUAGCAUGGGCCAAAUUUGGUUUUUCUGGUUUGGUCUUGAGUCAAUCGUGAUAGAAAACAUGUAUCAUCCUGUAGAGAAGAAAAAUCACAAAUGGGCUCUUUGUAAUGCCUAAAUUGUUCCUCCUAGACAACAGUGAGAUUAGACUGAUAAAAUGAAGACAUUUGCUGAUGUUUCUCCAGAGAAUAAGACCCCAGUAAUCUCACAUGUGUGUCCUCUAGAGUUUCAGAAUGGACCUUAACUAUGUCUCAAACUGGGCUCAGAUUUUCCAUCGUACCAAAGUGAGAUAUCUCAAUGUGACCUCAAAGGUUUCUCAUUGAAUUAUCCCAAAACCUAAUUAUCUACAGUUUCCACAUUGAUUUUAUAGCUUAAUAUUCUUACUGUAUGUCAACAAUUGUGCCAUUCGAGUCUCUUAAGGAUCAGGUCACCUGAGACCAGGUCAAUAAUUAAAUGACACAUCUGAGAACUACUUAAUGAACAAGUGACCUCUGAGCAAUACGAUUUUCGACCGGAACAUUUCUGUACCUAACUUUCCCAGUAAUGUCACCAUGGAACAAUUUAUAAUCUCUAGUACCAUCAAGUAGUCCAGACAAGUGUCUGGUACCCAGUUCUAGUCAAAAUAACUUUAACCUUAAAAGGAUGUAAUUUCCAUACCAAACUGAAUUAUUGAUGCACCUGCGGCCACAACAACAACAACAGCAGAGAGCAAACAGGAGCAAAGAGAACAUGAUGGAAAAAAGCAAGCGAUUCUUUAAAUGACAGAUGAGUGAAAAGUGUCUACAGCAAAGUAUAAAUGUUGCUGUUAAUGGAGGGAAUAUCUAAACAAAAUGCAGUCGUUAGCAAGAAACAUUGCCCUUGUCCUUGUCUUCAGGCCAAAGAUGAAACGUGAUCGGUUUUGCUCCCCACGGGACAUCCAAUCAAAAUAGUCGGUAGAGCAAAUUCUGAGUGGCCACUGCAAUGAAAUCAUUGAUCAAUUUCAAGCAGGCAUCUGACAGGAUCAGAGUACACUAUACUGCUACAGCGGUGGUAAUGUGAGAUUACUUGUGCUGAAGGGAAAAUGUGGUAUUGACUGACUUCGCUGCCCAAUGUAGAUGUUUAACUACAGAUUUAAAGAGCUUGAUGAGCACAGUUUUCUUUCCAGUAUAUUUACAAUAGAGUGCAACUCUUUUUUGAAAGGUAUUAUGAAAUCCCUUAGGAAGAAAUGAAUAGGAAAAAUACUUCCAGAACCUAGAUGGCUGAAAAAGUAGCCACUUUUAAAUAGCUCUUGUUUACAGUACAGCCGUUAACUGUGAUUUGCUACUUGCUGUUGCUAGCCUGAAGCAGGUGGUAUUAGCAAGUACAGAUUUCUAUAGAGUGUUAACAUUCUAGAGAGCAUUUGAUGGGACAAAAAAUUGGAUUUUCCCCUGAGUGUAUGGUGUCUAUAUAUAUAUAUAUAUAUAUAUAUAUCUCUUAGGAGUACGCUAGUUUAUGCAUGGUAUCAAAACUUACAGACAUGAAAUAAAAGCCACAAAACUCCUAUUCUGAUUUCAAGAGAGACACCAUGGAGAGAUCAAAGGAGAGAAACAUUAGUCAAGAUGUGAGGAAGGAAAAAAAUGCACAAGAUAAUUAGCCAUAAAUAGUAACUCAAAUUCCCUAUGCACAAAUCAAUUGAGGGAUUCACACUUGUCCUCACAUACAAAUCUGGAUUGAGUCCAGAUCCCUCCCCUCGCAUGUGACACACUUACCUGCUCUGAAAAGCCAGCCCUCUAUCCGCACUCAAAAUAAUUAAUUCUCUAUUCAUUUUAAUUAAAAUGUAACCUCUUUUUCUAUUUAAAGAUGUUACAUUCUAUAAAACCCCAGUAAUCUAAACUCAUCUUUGUUGUGAAAGUGUCCUCAUAAUCCAUCACGCAUUGGGCUGAUAUACAUUGUCAAAGCAUGCUGUACCCUGUCAUCAACAAAUUUAUUGGUGUAAUGGUUUGGAAAAAUAUAAGAGUUAAGAACCAUAUUUUGACCAUCCAGGUCAUUCUCCCCUCUACCCUUAAUUUAUUCGCAGACAAGAAUUUGAAGUCAUUGCUUUUUCCUUUUGAUUCUGCCUCUCAUUAACUCGUUUCACUCUAUCUGUCCCUCUAUCGUUCUUUAUGGCCCAUUUUAUGCAUGGCCUCAUUUUGUGUCCCCUGAAGGCAUUUCGAUAAUCUCUUGUAUGGCAUGUCAACUACGCUGGGACUUCAAAGCCUGUUUUAGAAUUUGAUGGAAUAUAUGAUGCAGCUGUGGUCUGAACUGAUGUCAUAGAUCCUGUAUUACAAAUAGAAAAUCCUAUAACUCAAUAUUAGAGACAAUUGAAUAGGGUAAUGUAUAUUGGAACUGAAAGCAUGCAGCUGUAUGUCUGCUUAAAUACAUUAUUCACAAACCGCCUACUGUAUGAUAUAUCUCAGUGUAAGUGUUUUCAGAAACCCUUCAACAGCCAUUGAAAGCGUGAUUCUAUUCUACGCUCAAGUGAUUGACUUUCCUUCUUGUUCCAAUUCUUCAGCAUUCUGCUUCCUCCCUCGCACCCUUCAUCGCAAGCUAAUCUGGUUAAGUGCUCAGAAAUGAGCCGUGAUCGAAUUUGGCUCACUGAGAAAAGAGCCUUGCCAUUCAUUGAGAGUGUGUAGUACUACAGCCACGUUUUGCAUGUGUCUAAACCUCUUCAGCUUUAGAUUACUGAAGGGCUCGCAGUGAAGAUGAGACAAUGUUUGCACGUUUUCUGCUGGAUCCUUUAGCAAUAACGGUGUUGCUGCGAGAACACGAGAGCAUCGCCAAAGUGCCAGAGACAUCGACAGACCUCCAUAUCCACUGCAGGGAAUUCACCGUUCACUAAAGUCAAGAAAUGCCACUGAAUGCAUCCCUAAUGCAGUCCUGCUCCCUAAACAUCAGCCGAGCAUUGUAAACCAACCAGGAUGCUUCAUUUUCUGUGUCUUUUAUUGUUUGUAUGACAACUCUGAUACCUUAACAACUUCUGUUCUUUGGCCACUUACACACUGCAGAGUUUUGGGAGUGACAACCACUGGUAAAUUUGGAGUGAAGUCAGAAUUAAUGACUAGCUGGUGUUACAUCCACACAUCUUUUGCAAAUAUCGGGGUAGCCUAUCACAUUAAAAUCCAGGAUGGAAUCACCAAGAUGCGAAUCAACCCCACCCCCAACACAUUAUCAAAAAUAUUAGCUAAAGUUAUCUCCUAGGACUGCCUGACACACAUUCAUACCCACAUAAAAGCUGAUUGCAAGCAAACACGAGGUUUGUGAGGACGUAAUUUUGUUCUCUUGAACACUUGGGAUGGAAAUUCUGCUUCAUUUGCAAAUUGUUAAAAUUAUAAAUUAAAAUCGUAACUUGGGUAGAAACAUGAUUUAUGUCAUCUGUAUAAGCGACGUUGCAUACUUAACAACUAGUCGUUCCCAAAAGCAUUGUAAGCCUAAGUAGAUCGUAGAAAUCUAAUGGUCUCUAUGAUCAACUUUGGCUUGCAAUACUUUUGGGAAACGCAGCCCAGUUCGGUUUAAACAUGUUACAGAUUAAAAGAAAAUUCAGCUGUCAUUACCUAAAAUUUUCUGGAGUGAAUUGGGUUGUCUCUCCCUUAAAUAACCGAACUAUGUCUGGACAGAUCUGGAUUACGCCCUCCACUGCACAAAUGCUGGUCAACCAACAGUAGUUGACCAAGUGAGUCUUGCUGAUUAAUCUAGUUAAGAAGCCUGGUACAGACAUGACAAUUUCAGAAUCUAAGGCCACGUAAACUCUAUUACGCUUUCGUUUGAAAUUGCUUUAAAUUUGAUCAUUUUCACCUCUUAUCCACUUGAACGGUGCUUUUCUGCACUGAAAAUGAAAUCUUUCGGAAACACUCCAUUACCGCACACUUUGGAAAAUUAUGACGUUUGGAAAUUGAAAACCGAUUAAGGUGGAUGUGGCCCUAAACAGAACAUAUACUGGCGACCUUUUCAACCGGGUGGUCUUUGCUUGCAGGUGGUCUUUUCAACAGGGUCUGAAGACAACUGAAUUGAGCUGCAGUGUGUAUGUGGCCUUUCUUAAUUAGCUGUACUCAUUGGGCUGUUUAAAUUGAACAAGAUAGACGUCAUUCACCGUGUAAUCUGUCCUCAUUAGUCAUCUUUAAAUUUGACUGAGAAUCUGCAAUUUUUUCUAAUAUAAUUCUUUCAGAUUUCUGUUUUGGGUUCAUAGUGAGGUGGUUUAAUGUUGUGGAACGGGACACAUCGACUUUGGGGGUUAAUGUAGCUGCUUUCACUGUAUGUUCUUGUUAACUGGAGAGGGAUGUGGAAAUGCUUGUGACAAAUCAUCUUUUGAGGUGCAGAACCCUGUAUUUUAUGUUUUAAAUACUGUACUCUGUAGAGGAGUGAGAGAUACAGCACUCAAACAGCCCUGUGUUCUUUUGAAUCUGCACAAUUAAAACUUGCUGCAGCUUGCAUAAGAAAAGUUCUACCAAUGUAUGUUUUGUGUUUUUGAAUGUUUAGGUCAUGUUGUUCUGACAGUUCGGGCAGUAGUUAAUACUUAUUACCAGCAAUGACUAGCACUUUUCAAAAUGUAACACAAAUUUCCAACAGGUUUGUUCAAUAAUUAAAAUUAUUCAACAAUGUCAUUUGACUUCAAUUAUUGUAGGAGGGAAAACGAACUUGUUUUAUGAUCAAACAUUUUAUAUUUGCUUUGUCCCACAUUUUGCGUGAAUAGUGCAAAAUCCACUUUUUCAGUCGUCUUGGUUCCAGAAGUAUUAUUCCCUCUUUUUUUUUUCAUAGGGAUUUCAUGAGGUCCGUGAACCAAACCAACCAGCUUUGAGGUGAAGCAAAACAUUACAAACUUGACAAAAAAGGCAAAGGUAUAAAAUGAGGUGAUGAAUUACAAUCCCAUAAAACAUUGCAAAUGAUGUAAUCAUAUUGAAGAAUAUGGAAAUAUAUAGAGAACUAUUGAUUAAAAGUUGUUGAUCAUAAGUAUAGAAACGAUAUAUUUUACUUUUAUUGUGGAAUAGUCAUAUAUAUACAUAGUUUGAGAGUGUAGGGG